GAUGAACGCUAGCUACAGGCUUAACACAUGCAAGUCGAGGGGAAACGAUAGAGAAAGCUUGCUUUUUCUAGGCGUCGACCGGCGCACGGGUGAGUAACGCGUAUCCAACCUGCCCAUCACUUGGGGAUAACCUUGCGAAAGUAAGACUAAUACCCAAUGAUAUCUCUAGAAGACAUCUGAAAGAGAUUAAAGAUUUAUCGGUGAUGGAUGGGGAUGCGUCUGAUUAGCUUGUUGGCGGGGUAACGGCCCACCAAGGCGACGAUCAGUAGGGGUUCUGAGAGGAAGGUCCCCCCACAUCGGAACUGAGACACGGUCCAAACUCCUACGGGAGGCAGCAGUGAGGAAUAUUGGUCAAUGGACGAGAGUCUGAACCAGCCAAGUAGCGCGCAGGAUGACGGCCCUAUGGGUUGUAAACUGCUUUUAUAAGGGAAUAAAGUGAGUCUCGUGAGACUUUUUGCAUGUACCUUAUGAAUAAGGACCGGCUAAUUCCGUGCCAGCAGCCG
rnacentral:rRNA from 1 species